UACGGAGGGUGCAAGCGUUAUCCGGAUUCACUGGGUUUAAAGGGUGCGUAGGCGGGUUGGUAAGUCCGUGGUGAAAUCCCCAAGCUUAACUUGGGAACUGCCGUGGAUACUAUCAAUCUUGAAUAUCGUGGAGGUCAGCGGAAUAUGUCAUGUAGCGGUGAAAUGCUUAGAUAUGACAUAGAACACCAAUUGCGAAGGCAGCUGGCUACACAAAUAUUGACACUGAGGCACGAAAGCGUGGGGAUCAAACAGG
rnacentral:rRNA from 1 species